AAUGAAGCAGCUUCUUCUUCUGUGUGCGUGUGACAAAAAACUGCCAACUAUAUAACGGCUUAAACGACUUUCCCGAAGAAGAAAGCGCCCAAAUCCAAAGGCUUUAUCUUGCAGUUUCCUCCUCUCUCUUUCCAUUGAAGAGCUCGUUCUUAGUAAGAUUCAGCUCAAAUUUCCCUUUCCUUGAUCAGUAAAUCUCAAAAGUUUGUGCCUUUGAGUUCGUACUUAGCAGCUUUUUGACAACUUCGUCUUCUUUCUUGCUUUUCAACGACAACCCAUAUCAGUUUUUUCCUGUUUUUUGUGUUGAACAAUCUGACCCAGAAUUUGAUUUGGAAGCAAAGUAGUAAAAUUGGUAAGAGAACCAAAACCCAUCUGGAUUUUGUUCAUCUUUCUGCAAUUAUUGCCAUGAACUAUCUGUACCCAGUGAAGGAAGAGUUCCCGGGUUCAAGUGCAUCACAAUCGGGUCCUGGUGACCCGGUGGUGAUGAUACCGCCACAGCCAAUGGAGGGUCUGAAUGACACAGGCCCUCCUCCAUUUCUGACCAAGACCUUUGACAUGGUGGAUGACCCGAGUACCAAUCGGAUAGUUUCUUGGAGCAGAGGAGGUGGAAGCUUUGUUGUUUGGGAUCCUCAUACCUUUGUUAUGAAUCUCCUUCCUAGAUACUUCAAGCACAAUAAUUUCUCAAGCUUUGUCAGGCAGCUCAACACUUACGGCUUUAGAAAGGUUGAUCCUGACAGAUGGGAGUUUGCCAAUGAGGGGUUUGUAAGGGGUCAGAAGCAUCUCCUUAAGAACAUUAAAAGAAGGAAGACACCUUCUCAGCCUCUUCCUGCACAACAAGCUCUAGGCCCUUGUGUGGAAGUAGGCCGGUUUGGGCUAGAUGGAGAAAUUGAUCGUUUGCGGCGCGACAAGCAGGUCCUAAUGAUGGAGUUGGUGAAGCUUAGACAGCAGCAGCAGAAUACUAGAGCCUACCUUCAAGCAAUGGAACAAAGGCUGCAAGGGACUGAAAGGAAGCAGCAACAAAUGAUGGCUUUCUUGGCAAGGGCAAUGCAAAACCCAGCUUUUAUGCAGCAGCUAGUCCAACAGAAGGAUAAAAGGAAGGAGCUUGAGGAAGCCAUGACUAAGAAAAGGAGGAGGCCAAUUGAUCAAGGACCUAGUGGUGUUGGUGGUGGCAAAUCGAGCCUAAAGGGCAAGGGAACAAACCUCAUUAAAUGUGAGCCUCUUGAAUUUGGAGAUUGUGAUUAUGAAAUGUCAGAGCUAGAAGCACUUGCAUUGGAAAUGCAAGGAUUUGGAAAGGCAAGAAAGGAACAGGAUGAAGAGCUAGAGCCACUAGAGAGUGGGAAAGAGUUCGAUGAGGGAUUUUGGGAAGAACUAUUUAGUGAGAGAUUGGAGGAAGACUUCAGCAUUCCAAGUGCAAUAGUAGGGGAAGAUGAAGAUGUGAUUAUCUUGGCUGAUCGCUUAGGUUACUUAGGUUCAUGCCCAAAGUAGAGCUAGCUAGCUGCACUUCUUCAGCAUUUCUAUCUCUGUCCUCUUCAGUUCACUGCCUCAUUGACCAUUUCUUUUUGGGUAGGAGGCUAAGGCCUCCAACAGUUGUUUCCAUAGUCUCUCAUUUUGCAUCUCUACAGUCUCGUCAAGUGCCAUUAGGCCAUAACUUUCAUUCUGGAUUUCUUGGUAUUGACAGGAUAGGGGGAUUAGCAGGCUGAUAUCCGUUGAAACCAUCUUUGUUUCUGGUGUUUCUAACCCUGCACUUGUUUAUUAAUUGCCUCCUUUUCUCAUCUAAUAAUGCCCUCUCUUUGUUUCUUUAUCUUGGUUAGGUUGCAGGCAUUGCUUGGACAGAAACUGUGCUAGUUUUUAUGAUGAUUUAUCUCAAGAUUUGUUGAGAAGCUGUUGAACUUGAAAAGGAGUAGCUGCAAGCUCCAAGAACCAUAAACAAAAUAUUGUUUUUGGAUCCAAGUGCCUAUUGGCUGAUAACUUUGUCAGUAUGAUACUUUCUGUUACUUGAGUACUGUCCCUAUGUUGUUUGAGUAAAGAUAUAAACAGAGGUAGUUUGGGUAAUAUGAACUUCAUAAUGUUACAUUUGUACCAUGUAGAUUUGUUCAUGUCGGGCAAAUACGGUUCUCAUCGGUCACUACAUCAGCCGUGGACUCUCAAACUGGUACAGUAUCACUCUUUAAAACAUCACCAUAAAAAAUGUGUUCCUUACCCAAUUGAUGUCUUACUUACAGUACAGAUGAAGAAAGACAGGAUCCAAGUAUCAAAGUAGAUUGACUGGGUUGAACUUGAAGAGCAUAAUAUGAUUCUAACUCUACAAGUAGGGUUAGAAUGUGUUUAAUUUGUGUGAGUAAUCAUUGAAACUUUGGUCUGCAAGAUUCUGUAAUUAAGCUGAGAUUUUUAGUGAGGCGGAUUAUAGAAAGUUAUGUGCCUAGCGGAUGAUAGAAAGUUAAUACCUUACUGGGAAGGCUUCAACAGAAGUUGGACUGUUCCACCCUUAAGAAGCUUAGGCUAACCAAUUCAAGAAAUCACAACCCUUUAAUUUUUGCUUAGUCUAGUGUUGUGCACUUAUUAGUCUGCCAUGUGUUGUAACAUUCCCCAUGGCAGUGUGUGAUUGGCUUGGGAUAUUGUCUGGUGACAUCCUUAUUUUAUAAAAGUUUUUGUUGUAUAUGGAUAUCGGUCGGUCCAAUUUUGAAAUCAUAAUCUUCCCAGCCUCCUCGACCAAACCCAGUUUCCCAUUUCAUCGAUCUCCCAAAACCCACAUCAGUCGCUGCACCAGAAGGAACCAUCAAACCCCACUAUAAAACAACCCCCAUGACCUCUGUUUCUUCUCUUCUCCGAAAUAUUUCUUCCUGAUUGAUAAAUGGGCCUCCAACCUGUAAUAUUCACAAAAAUGUCCAUCACUUGAUCCCAUGUUUGAUCAAAUUGGGUCUGUAGUUGUGCCCACUAACUUCCCGUGACUCGUUGCAGCCGCCGAUGAUGUUUUUUUCAGCCCAUAGUUUGAGAGGCCAGGAAAUACUUAGCCUUCAUGAGAUCAAGAAUUUUAUAGUGAGGGCUUAUAUAUAGUCCUUAAGUGAGGCCCUCUCUCUUAAUAUUUGAAUUAAAUUGGUUAGUCAUUAGAUCAAAUUGGUUCGUCUAAUGCAACGAUUAAGAGAUAUGACCUUACCUAAGAGCCAUAUAUAAAGUCCUCACUAACGAAUGACUCGGGAUUUGAAGGCUUGGGAGCCCUUCCUUAAAAAUCAAAUAUAUAAGAGCAUUAACCUCUGCAUUUGAGGUCCUAGGUUCGAUUCUCCUCUCUCUAGUAUAGCUUGUAUUAAUAUAAAAAAAUCAAAUAUAUAUAUAAAAAAAUCUUUGUACUUUUCAUGGGGUUAGAAGCCAGCACUUUUCAGCUUUCAUGCUGUGUCGGUGGAAUUUUAGGCAGAGCAUAUAUUUUAUUAGAGGCAGAGCAUGCAGGGCAAGGCAUUAGCAAUAGGAACAUGUCAGAAAGUCAAAAUAUGAGAUAGUUACAAGUCUGGACAAGAUUAUUGAGUGUGUAACGGAUGCAAUGCAAGAGGGUUUCUUCUCAACAAAAAAUGAGUGCACUGGGUACAUUAAUAUAUUAAUUAAGAUAUUUUAAGCCAUGUCAUAAAUGACAAUGAGUAGUUUAGGCGCCUAAACAAGUUUUUCUACUAAUUAGGCUUGGAGAGGUGAGCAGAGAAAGUGAAGUGUCAUGGAAGGUCCUCCUCUGUAUAUUUUUGCCUUUUCAUUUGCCUCCAAAGCCAAAACUUGCAUGUGAGAAUCUGGCAAUAGAAAGAACCCGUGAAUAAGGCAUGGCCCGCAUUUGUAUUUUCUUUCCAGUUCAUGAAAAAAAUAUGAAAUGUGCCUCUCUCUCUCUCUCUCUCUCUCUCUCUCUCUCUCUCUCUCUCAGCAUGCGGAACAGAGCAUGAGAAGAGAAGAGAGUUAUAAUAAGGUAGCUUCAAAUUAGAAUCAGCAAAGAACAAACAAACAAUAUGAGAUGGCUGUCAUUAACUUCAUGUGUGCUUCAAUUACUUGAAAGGGUAAAACUUUCACAUCUCCAUGCUACUUGGGUUUCUCAGCUUGGCCAAAUCUUGUGGUCCUACUUUGUUUAUUAUUAAACAAUAGUUAGUUGUUUUACACCAUCUUUGUAUAUGAUUGUGUUUAAUUAGCAAAAUCCCAUUUUUAAUUGAGGGGUUGCUCAUAGUUUCUUGAUCAAAUGAAACCAUUAUAGUCAUGAUGAUGUAAAUACUUUCCUAUCAAUGGAACAAUCAUUUGCU